rnacentral:rRNA from 1 species
CGGAGGGUGCAAGCGUUAUCCGGAUUUACUGGGUUUAAAGGGUGCGCAGGCGGAUAUGUAAGUCAGUGGUGAAAUCUUUUGGGCUUAACCCGAAAAUUGCCAUUGAUACUAUAUAUCUUGAAUGCUGUGGAGGUAAGCGGAAUAUGUCAUGUAGCGGUGAAAUGCUUAGAUAUGACAUAGAACACCUAUUGCGAAGGCAGCUUACUACGCAGAGAUUGACGCUCAUGCACGAAAGCGUGGGGAUCAAACAGGAUUAGAUACCCUGGUAGUCCACGCCCUAAACGAUGAUUACUCGACAUACGCGAUACACAGUGUGUGUCUGAGCGAAAGCAUUAAGUAAUCCACCUGGGAAGUACGACCGCAAGGUUG